rnacentral:lncRNA from 1 species
CCCUGUUGAGCAUCCACUAUCAAUGCAUACAGCUCGGUUGCACUAUAACGCCCCAAAAAUUAGACAGCAGAUAUACAGUAAUAUCUCAGAAUAUUAUAACAGAUUAGUCACACAGACUUAUCUUAUCAAGCACACCAAAAACAGCAACUAUUCCACAAAGGAAUAUCUCGACCAACACUGCUUCCUCAAGAACUACAGAGUAUGGAUGCCAGUUAACAGAACGUCAAUUUUUUUCAAGAAGCUAUACAAAUCCGGCCACUAUAAUACACGAAAAUGACUCGAGACCACACAAAUCUCCCAAGAAGUCUGAUAACAUUUGAAUAACUCAGAUUCGCACCAAAUAAAAUGAAACCAGCACAACAUCCAUACGAAUCUACAAGGUUUCUUCUUCUUACAAGUUUUAGUCUCUAAAAGUAGACCCAAAAUCUGAAUCUUAAUGGAGAAGAAGAAGUGUUCUUGUUCGUAGAAGAGAAAAGGGAGAAAAUCUGAGAGAGUAAAGAGUGAACCAAGGCGACAGUAAACCCUAGAGAGAAAAUGAUAUUUCGCAUGCCAAAAAUGAAGGGUCAGACGCCUUUAUAAGCUGGAACCAUCUAGAAGCAGAUCAGACAGCCUCCAAGUCACCAUGUGUCAAGAUCCAGUUGAUUUCUCCCAUAACCAAAGUUGCUACUUUGCAAACACACUUUUAGUUAAAGUUGUGGAAGCACACUUAAAGAGCUAGUCAGCAGUUCGAUUCACAACAAUUUCCACCUUGCUUCCAUAAUUUUAAGGCAUAUAGUGCAGCCAUGAGCUUAACCAGCAUUUAUAGUUUCAUUUGCUCGAUUGUACUUGUACAUUUAAUGUAAAGAAUCAAUAGAUAAUAUCUUCAAACAAUUUUCAAAUUUGUUUAAAGGUAUUACUUUAGUUCCCAUGUCUGAUGGGUUGUUCAAGGUACCAAUCUUAUUUAUUUUCAGCAACCAUUUUGAAAUAAUAUCCCUUAUAAAAUUGUAUUAAACAUCAAUGUGAUUUGUUCUACUGUGGAACAUUGGAUUUUUACUCUAAUGGAUUGCACAUUGAUUGUCAGAAAACAGAAUUGGAUUAAUAUCUACAAAACCAAGUUCAUUUAGCAAACCAUGCAGCCAGAUGCCUUCUUUGAUGGCAUCAGUGGUUGCAAUAUAUUCAGCUUCGGUGGAAGAUAGAGCAACAUUUUUUUGCAACUGGGAUUUCUAGCUUAUCACGGUGCCACACAAAGUGUAAAAAUAAGAUGAAAUGGAUUUCCUAUUGUCUCUAUUUCCAACAAAAUCAGAAUCUGUAUAACCUUUUAGAAUUACCCCCUCUUUAUCCAUUUUAAACAUCAAACCUAGGUUAGAUGAACCUUUUAAGUAUCUCAUUAACCAUUUUAAGGCUUCCCAAUAUGUUUCACCAGGAUUCCCCAUGAAUCUACUCAAAACACUAAUACUAAAUGCCAAAUCAGGCCUGGUGCAAAUCAUUAAGCACAUGAUUGAACCAAUAGCAUUAGCAUAAGGUAUUUUAGACAUUCUUUCAAGUUCAUCUUCAGUUUUAGGGCAUGAAUCAGAUGUUAGAAUAAAGUGAUUAGCAAGGGAUAAAGACACAGGUUUACAAUCAAACAUAUUAAACUUCUUAAGGAUCUUAUUCACAUAUUCUUCUUGACAUAAAAACAAGCAAUCAAAAUUUUCAUCUCUUUUAAUAUGCAUGCCAAGUAUCUUCCUAGCAGAACCAAGAUCUUUCAUAUCAAAUUCUGAUUUUAGUUUGUGUUUGAUAUCAUCAAUUUCAACUUUAUUGGCACUAGCAAGAAGCAUAUCAUCAACAUAAAGCACAAGAUACAAAGAAUCUUUACCACCACUUCCUUUACAAUAAAGACAUGUAUCAUAGUUGCUUCUACUAAACCCAAGUUUCAAGACAAAUGAAUCAAAUCUUUUAUACCAUUGUCUUGGAGCUUGUUUUAGGCCAUAUAAAGAUUUUUUCAACAAACACACAGUUUUUUUCAGGAUUUCCUUUAAUAAAUCCUAAAGGCUGUUUCAUGUAGAUAACUUCAUCCAAUUCACCAUAAAGAAAAGCAGUUUUUACAUCUAAUUGAUCAAGUUUUCAUUUAAAUUGCACAGUAGCAAGAAUACAUUUUAUAGUUGUAUAUUUGACCACGGGGGAAAAAAUCUCAUUAUAGUCCACACCCUCCUUUUGUGUGAAACCUUUGGCAACUAGUCUAGCUUUGUAUCUAACAUUAUUAGUGCCACCUUCCCCUUCCUUUAUUUUAUAAAUCCACUUGCAAUCAACUAGUUUUUUAUCCUUAGGUCUAUCAACUAAUUCCCAAGUUUCAUUUUUGUAUAAGGAAGACAUUUCUUCUUCCAUAGCACUCAACCACCUCUUAGAAUCUUUAGAUUUCAAGGCUUCAUGAUAGGAACUAGGUUCAGAUUCAAUUUCUUCUUGGUAAGUGAACAAAGACACAAAGUCAUCACUAUUGAACCUAGCCGGUGGUCUAAUUUGCCUCCUAUCCCUAUCUCUAGUGAGCUGGUAUUCAUCUAGAGGUAUAUUUAUGUCAUCACAUAAAUCAGGUUCAGCAAAAUCAGACUCAUUCUCAUUCUGGUCAGCUUCUGUACAUUCAGUUUCUAAAGGGGCAGAACUGAUAUCAUCAAUUUUAGUAGGCUCCGCCUCAAUUUGGACAUCAUUUUUAGUUAAGUUCCCUUUUUUCCCUUCCAAACAUGGCAUACAUGAUUCAUUAAAGACCACAUCCCUCCUUAUUAUUACUCUAUAACCCUUUUCCUCAUAAACCCAUAGUCUAUAUCCUUUAACAUUUUCAGCAUAACCCAAAAACACACACUUUACAGAUCUAGGUUUAAGUUUCCCUAUGUUUUGAUGAGCAAAUGCAGCACAACCAAAUGUUUUCAAGUAAGAAUAAGUUACAGGCUUUUGUGUCCACACAGAUUCAGACACAUCAUAGUUUAAAGCACUUGUAGGACUUUGAUUAAUCAAAUAUGCAGCAGUUUUACAGCCUCACCCCAAAAUAAUUUGGGCAGGCCUGAACUUAAAAGUAUGCAUCUAACUUUAUUCAACAAAGUCCUAUUCAUUCUUUCUGCAAUGCCAUUUUGCUGGGGUGUGUAGGUUACAGUUUUGUGUCUUAAAAUGCCAUGCUCUUUACAGAAAUUAUCAAACUCAUAGUUGCAAAAUUCUAGACCAUUGUCUGUUCUUAAAGUCUUGAUUUUCAAGUCAGUUUGAUUUUCAAUUUGAGUUUUCCAAUCUUUGAAAAUAGUAAAAGUUUCAUCUUUGGUUUUUAAUAGAAAAACCCAAAUUUUUCUUGAAAAAUCAUCAACAAUCAACAAGUAAUAUUUAUAACCAGACAAUGUAGGGAUAGAUGAAGGACCCCACAAAUCAGCAUGUAAAUAUUCUAGAAUUUGCUUUGAUUUAUGAGUACUCGCGGAAAAAGGUAACUUAACUUGUUUUCCUACCAAACAUUGUUCACAAUUAGACAAGUCACCAAUGUUUAGUUUUCCAAAUACACCUUUAUUAUGUAAAGCCUUUAACCCUUUCAACCCAAUGUGACCAAGUCUACAAUGCCAUAGUUUUGCAAGAUUAUUUUUAUCAUCUAAAACUGCUACUGAAAGUCCAAGUAAAGGUUUUGCAUUUAAAAAGUAUAAACCAUGUCUCUUUGGGAUAAAAGUGAUUAAAUCACUUCACCUAAAGAUUUAUAUCUAUCCUUGACCCAAUUUUAUGUCAAACUCCAUGUCAUCCAACAUUCCUAGAGAUACUAGGUUUCUUUCUAAUUCAGGAACAAAUCUGGUACCCUUUAAAAGUAAAAUUCUGCCAUUUUCCAAAAGUAGUUUUAUUGUUGCAAUACCCUUCACUUUGCAAGUCAUGUUAUUUCCCAUGAUAACUUGGCCACCUUUAGUUUGUUCAAGAUCCAAAAAAUAGUUUUUGUUAGGGUAUAUGUGGAAAGACUUCCUUUCAACAUUUACAAGAACCAGGCCAUUGUUUACAUUUUGUUUAUCAUAGGAUGUAACAUUGUUACCUUCACUUAUUUUCUUUUCUUUCAAAUCAUUUUGCUUUUUAUAAUAGUCUUUAGCGAAGUGACCCAACUUACUACAAUAGUAACAUUUCUUUCCCUUUGCCUUAGAUUUAGAUUUUAUUUUGUCAAAUUUCAUUUUUCUAGGGUUAUUUUGAAACUUUGAAUGAAAAUUAGAUUUACCAACAUUCUUGCCUUUUAUCAAAAGAUUUUCUCCGCUUUGUUGGUUAAUAGAAUCUAAUUUUAAUUCAAGAACCCUAAUUCUUAAGGCAUUUGUUAUGAUGUCUGUGGUAAGAUUUUCUCUACCAUAUUCCAAGGCAUUCUUUAGGUCUCUAUGCCUAUCACUAAUGGAGUUCAACAAGACCACAACCAACUGAUCUUGUAAUAAUUUUUCAUCACAGUUGGCUAAAUCCUGGGUCAACUUUGUAAACCUAUUCAAGUUUUCCUCUAAAUCAACAGAUGGAUCCAUUUUGAAAGAAAAUAAUUGUUUUAGCAAAAAACAUUUGUUUGGAACAGUUUUUGGUUCAUAUUGAGCUUUCAAUUUGUUCCACAAUUCAGAAGCAGUUUUAGUUUCUUCUAUAGUUCUGAUCGCAUUGUCUGAAAGAUAUAAGACAAUACUACUCCAAGCAGUUUCGUCUAACUCAGUUCUUCUACCAGGAGGUAACUCAGCAGGCUAAGAAUUAUCUAGGGCUCUAGCACACCUUUGUUGCAUCAAAAUAGCUUUCAUUUUCUGACUCCACAUAUUAAAAUCCCCCCUCCCAUCAAACAUGCUCAUUUCAAACUUAGUAGUGGCCGCCAUUACAAGAAAUACCAAGUUAAUACACAGCACACAAGUUUGAUCUCAAGAACACAUAGAGAUAUACAAUGUGGGGACUGUAGGCAGGUUAGAGUAUUAGGGCCCAAUCUAACAAUGCACUUAUUCAGUUUUCACCCAAAAACAGUAAACACUUAACACUAAGUAUAAGUGGUAGAUUCACAGAGAACAGAGAUUUCUAAUCAUAUGCCUCAACUGCCUUCUCCAGCAAGACCUUCCAGUUGCACUCCUCAACGUGUUGUUAUCUCAGAUUCCCAAGACUUCUUGAGUCUUUGGACAAAGACCAGCCACGUGAGGUUUUAUAGUACAAGGUAAAUCAAGGGAAAUAGCAGGAGACACUAAUGUAAAAUUAAUUACAGAAAGCAGGAAAGAUCUCACCAAUGAGUUUGAUAAAACUCAAAAAUUCCACCACUGGUGUUCACUGCAGGUUGAAGGUAGGUUUUAAGAAUCCGGUUUCCUUAAGAAUCGGGUGCCUUUAAUAUUCCAAAGGUUGCUCUGAUACCACUGAAAUAUCGAGGCACACAGCAUUAACCAACAUUCAUAAGAAACCUAAUCAAGAAAUGCAGAAAAUAAAAGUGCAGAAAAUAAUGAAUACAAUGAUUUUUCGGCCGAGGCCCCAGAGGUUCAGCACAAGUGCCUAAUCCCCUGUUAAGCAUCCACUAUCAAUGGAUACAGCUCGGUUGCACUAUAACGCCCCAAAAAUUAGGCAGCAGAUAUACAGUAAUAUCUCAGAAUAUUACAACAGAUUAGUCACAAAGACUUAUCUUAUCAAGCACACCAAAAACAGCAACUAUUCCACAAAGGAAUAUCUCGACCAACACCGCUUCCUCAAGAACUACAGAGUAUGGAUGCCAGUUAACAGAAUGUCAAUUUCUUUCAAGAAGCCAUACAAAUCCGGCCACUAUAAUACACGAAAAUGACUUGAGACCUCACAGAUCUCCGAAGAAGUCUGAUAACAUUUGAAUAACUCAGAUUCGCACCAAAUAAAAUGAAAGCAGCACAACAUCCAUAUGAAUCUACAGGGUUUCUUCUUCUUGCAGGUUUUAGUCUCUAAAAGUAGACCCAAAAUCUGAAUCUUAAUGGAGAAGAAGAAGUGUUCUUGUUCGUAGAAGAGAAAAGGGAGAAAAUCUGAGAGAGUAAAGAGUGAACCAAGGCUACAGUAAACCCUAGAGAGAAAA